rnacentral:lncRNA from 1 species
ACUCCACUCCCAUGGGAAAUACCCAACAGAAUCAGACAGGAAACCCCAAAGUGCCACUGAAAAGCAAUUGAGAGCCCCACUUUGGUACACCUGAUGGGAGCGGAGAGUUAGAGAGGCAGGAAAUAACCUCCACUCCAGGGUAGAAGUAGACAGGAGAUGGGAUGGAAGGUUUCUGCAUGCUGGGACUAGCUCAGGUCAAAGUCCAGAACUCCAGAAAACAAGGCCUGCCCCCAGCUCAGAGCAGCUACCACAGCACAAAAUGGUGUGGAAUCCAGGAGCCAGGAUGAAGCGUAGGGGUAGACGGUGGUUGGAUAGCUAACUGGCCUUUCCACUGCUCUAGCCUGGAACUGGUUGGGCUGGGGCAGGGGACAUGUUGGUCUGAGUAUAGAUUUUGUCAGAAAACCCAGGCACCACUCCCUUGCCUUUGCGGGGUGAUUCUAAAAUUGGACUGUGGUAAGGGUUGCACAACUCCUCAAGUUUAUUAAAAUCAUUAAAAUGUAAACUUACAACCUGUGGGUUUUAUGGUAUGUAAAUUAUACCUCAAUAAAGCUGUCUAAUAUCUGCA